rnacentral:rRNA from 1 species
GAUGAACGCUGGCGGCGUGCCUAAUACAUGCAAGUCGAGCGAACAGACGAGGAGCUUGCUCCUCUGACGUUAGCGGCGGACGGGUGAGUAACACGUGGAUAACCUACCUAUAAGACUGGGAUAACUUCGGGAAACCGGAGCUAAUACCGGAUAAUAUAUUGAACCGCAUGGUUCAAUAGUGAAAGACGGUUUUGCUGUCACUUAUAGAUGGAUCCGCGCCGCAUUAGCUAGUUGGUAAGGUAACGGCUUACCAAGGCAACGAUGCGUAGCCGACCUGAGAGGGUGGUCGGCCACCCUGGAACUGAGACCCGGUCCAGACUCCUACGGGAGGCAGCAGUAGGGAAUCUUCCGCAAUGGGCGAAAGCCUGACGGAGCAACGCCGCGUGAGUGAUGAAGGUCUUCGGAUCGUAAAACUCUGUUAUUAGGGAAGAACAAAUGUGUAAGUAACUAUGCACGUCUUGACGGUACCUAAUCAGAAAGCCACGGCUAACUACGUG